CCCCUACAGGGAAAGGGCUGUACCGGGGCAAAGACAGGAAAGCCCUGGCAGCAAUGCAUACAAUACAGGUGAUUCCUAUGUUUUAUUGAGUCAUUGGUUUCAAGUGUCAGAGAACCAAACAGAUGGACUAGGGGAUGAUCUCACCUUGGUCCCUCCAUACCUGAAUGGAAGAACACCUGUUACAGACUAGCAAUUCCAUGUGGCAUCACUCAAGAACUUUUAUAAAAAAAUAUAAGUCAAAGGGGGUGGUUGGGAAAUAGUGCAGAACAAAGAAAGAAAUAACAUCACCUUGAAAAUAAGCUGCUAUGUAUACAAGUUGGGUGUGGAGCGAAACAUAUGGAAUGUUUGGUGAAAUACAGGAAGUUGGGACCCCGAAACACUAUUUGGAAGCCUUUUUGGAAACAACUACAAUACAGACUGAUAUGAGAACAAUGGAGUGAGUGAUAUAAGAAUAAGUUCCAAGGAAGCUAACACUCAGCUGUAGGGAGGUGAACCAGUAACUACCCACAGUGAAGACAGAAAUGAUGAGAAAGUCAAAUCCAAGCUGAGUAGGAUAAACUUGAAAACAUGUCUCCAAACUGGAUCCUUCCUUCCCUCUCUCCCUCCCUCCCUCCCUCCCCUCCUUCGUUUUCUUUCCUUCAAGACUGUUUAUUGAACAGCCAAUACAUGUCAGAGGAAUACAGAGCAAAAGAUGAGAAAAGGAUGAAGAGACAGAGAAUGGAUAUAACACACAUGCGUUUUAGAUAUUUCUAAAGAUUAAAAGCGAGCAAUUGAAAGAAAACAAUCAUCAAGGGUAUAAUUAGAUACAAUUUUCUGAAGCCGAAAGGAUCUAAAUAUGGAGAUCAAAUAUCGCCACUGUACUGUAAAAAGAGAUAAUGAAAAAAAGAUCUAUACCUAGAAGGGCAGAGUAAAUGCCAGAAAAUGGAACAACUUGUACAGUGUUUUCAGAGAAAAGCGUGUGACCCAAGAGUGUCUGACCAACUAAAUGACCAUUUAUGGGUGAAGGCAAAAACAACAACAAAAAACAACAACAAAACCCAAAACUUCAAAAAAACCUACACUAACACAAAACAAAACAAAAAGCAUAUUGAAAUUGAAAAACUUCCAAAAUAUGUUACCAAUAAAAUCUUAUUUGAGGGAAAAAGAGCUUGAAUACAAUCUGUACAUAACAGAGAAACUGACUUGAAAUUUGUGACUCAAGAAUGGGAAAACCAUGGCAUUAAGUGUGACUGUGAGAAAAGAAAACAAUAUAAAGUCAAAAGCUGGAAAUAUCCUUUCAACUUGAAUGUAAAUACCAGUAUAAUUCUCAAAAGUAUAAUUCUCAGUUAUACAGUACUAAUAUAAUGGAAAAUGAAUUUAUAAAGGGGACAUGAAAAAUAAACGGUUUCAAUUGCUCAUUGUACAAGAGGGUGAGGGUUGAUAUUAAAUCUUACGGGUCAGAGAAAAUUAUGAUCCAAAUCUAUAAAAGUCAACCAAAGCAAAAAUUUUAAAAGGAUGAGUUCUUUCCAAAGUACUGGGGAAAAAUAAGCAAAAUGUAGCCAUAAAUAAAUAAAAUAAAGUUAAGAGAGGUAAUGGUAACAGUAUGAAAGUUGAUAUAAAACAAGAUGGCCAAGGGAGCAAACUCUUCAUAUGCAUCUCAUUACCUCAUUUAAUCCUCUUUUUACAGUUAAGAAAACUGAGACACAGUCCUUUUAAGUACAUACAAAGUGCUUGGAGCAGAUUUCUUGGUAGAUAGUAACUGGGACAUAAUAGUAACUUACCAUGUAGGAGUCAUAUAGUGACUUGACUCUUGAUAUCUCCCAUGGCCUUGUAGACGGGCAAAGCCCUUGACUUAACCUGUCUUGGACGGAAGAUGCUAUCUAAAAUCUGUAACAUGAGUUUCUCAUAUUUUAUCCCCAUACCAACACAAUGCUGUUAUGGCUCCACUGUCCCGUUGAGAGUCCGGGAGAAGAUGGCAGAGGGAAGAAAAAUACGUAGCGAGGUCCCCAACAGCUGGAGACAGACAACAAGACAUUAACAAUCCCCACGGCAGCAGCGAACCCAAACAGCACGCUCUGAUGGGAAACGCCGGGAUGAGAGAACCGGCUGGAUAGCCCGAGAUCUGAAGGCUGAGGAGGUACCGGCUCUGGAGGUCUCAGCCCUCCUCCGUCACUGAAAGCCUUGGGCAUUGCCUGUUUGAUUUCUCUCUUCUGAGAAGCAUCUGCUCCUGCCCCACCACUGAGGAUACCUCCCUUUUUUAGCCCCAGUCCUCAGCUGCUUUGAAUUUCAUGAUUAUCAGCCACGAGGAAUCGGUUUCUUGAUGACUCAGGAGCGAGGCAUGCAGGGAGUUCUCUACCUGGGGCUGCUUCCUCAAGAACUCACCCCAAGUCCCCUGCAAGGGAGCAGCCUUCCCUGAUUAGCACUGAGUCUGUCUGAGGGGCUCCAGGUCUGGCCGUCAUGGCCCUGGUGACCUCGUGGUUUUUUGGCUUUAAACCUCCAGCAACUGGCAAAGCAACCGGUACACAGGAGAUGCGUGAUAGACGCUUCUUGAACAAAUAAAUGCAUGGAGGAAUGAAUGGACAAAUAAACCAGGCCAGUGUUCAGGCUCCCCUUUAACUUGGAGGAACGGGAGCAGGCUCGUCAGAUGCAAGCCCGCGUGCCGGGAUUCAGCCAACAGACACGGGCAGUUGUUGAUCACAUCCAACGCGUCCCUAGGCCCAUGGAGGAGGCGACCGCAUGUGCUACCAGCAUCACAGUUCCCUCCAGGGCGAGGCUCCAGAGCUUUUCCAAGGGAAUCCUGAGGUGGUCUGGCUCAAAGCCCGGGUGGCCUGUCUGCUUCUUCCGAAGAGAGGAUGAUGGCCGGGAGUGCAGACUUCAAUGCCUAUGGAAGCCAGACCUCAAACACUUUUGCAGGCUCUUGACAUCACUGGCCCUAAGCAUCUUGUAUAUAGGGCUGAGAGGAUGAACCAGUUCUGAAAAGGAGUAGGACCUUUUCAGGGACUCGCACGGCGUUGUUUGCCCAGGGAGCAGACGGUGAGUGGGGAUGGCGAGGGUGGAUACUUCUUGAAAGAUGAGGGGAGGUGGGCAAGGGCAAAGGACAUUCAGGAGCUUAUAUUUCAAGCUGAGGACUUCAGGCCAAAAUAAACGCAGAGCCAUGGAAGAUUUUUAAGGAUGGGGUGACGAUCAUAGUUGCACACUGGUUGGUGGUUUGGAGGAUGCCCUGGAGGUGGGGGAUGGUGAGGAGGCUGCUGCAAGUCUCCCAUCUCGGAAGCAGCAGAGAGACUUCCUAGAACACAAGGUGAGGACGGUGAGAAGCCCGUAGAAAGGAGACAGAGCAGCUGAGGGCUGGACAGGAGGCGGGUCUGGGGAGCAGAGUUUGGGCCAUGCUGAGGACGGGACUGUUGGUGGGAGCAUCUGUGUGAUGUGUGGGGAUCUUUGUAGCAACCGGGCUGCUGGGACACCUCAUCCUUCUCAGGCUGUAACCAGAGGCUGAAGGUAUCCCAUUAGCGCCAUGGGGCUUUUCCUUUUGGAGGAAGGAAACUGUGAGAACCAGGAAUCUGACCUAUGACCCUGGCUGGUCCUAAGGCCUGCCAAGUGUGCUUCUUAAAAUGUCAGCAGCCGUCUCUUCUGUGGGAAAUAUCUUUCUUUCUCAGCCCCUGGCUUAUGCAGACCCCAGGAGGGGGGCCAAGGGAUCAUGGGUGAUACCAGAGUCCUCACUCCCUGCUGUUCCUAAGUCUGAAAAUAGGAAGGCAGGAAACUCCAGAAUUGACGGUUGACAUGAACAGCUCUAAAUGAGCCUAGCAGAUGCAGAAAUAGAGCAUCUUACUCUCAGGCAAAGAGGUCUGUCAUCCUGUGAAUGGCAGAAAUAAUCAUGAGGAUGAUAUUGACACCAGUCCAUAUUUAUCGUGCGUUCGCUGUGUACCUGACAUUGUGCUAAGACCUUAUGUGUAGUUUCUCAUUUAAUCCUCAUGACUUUAUAAGGUAGGUUCAGGGAGGAUGCGCAAGAGUUAGGAACAGACAAAGCUGGGAUUCUUAUCCAGCUGCCAACUCUAGAGCCCACUCUCAUUUGACGUUUCUGCAACUCUUAUCCUUUUGAUUCAACUCAUUCAGUGAUUUUUCAACCGGGGAUGAUUUCUGUGCCCUCAGCCCUCCCACCCAAUGGACAUUUGACAAGAUCUGAGACAUACUGGAUUGUCACAGCUGGGGGUGUGGGGUUCCUACUGGCAUCUCGUAGGUAGAGGCAGAGAUGCACAGAACAGCACGUAGCACAAAGAAUUACCCAGCCUCAAAUGUCAGUAGCUGAGAUACCCUGACCCAGUGACAGGGGCCAGAUAAACAUCCAGUCGUAUCAGCACAGUUUUGGGAUGAACACUUUCCUCCACCUUCUCCCCUUCCUUUCUUCUACAUUCAGUUGUUGUUACUCAUUUGUUCCUUCAUUGAAGAAAUAGCAACACUCUUCUGAAGGUUUUUGUAGCUUCCUUGAUAUAAACAGGUGGCUUGUCUUCCUUUUAAUUGGAAAGGAAAUCACACCCUGUUGUUUUCACCUGGCUGAUAACUAAACUUGGGUAGAGAAGAUAUUCUCCCUGAGAAAACAUUGUGUGUAUGUCAGUACUUCUCUAAAAAAAAUUUACAAUUCGGGGUAUUAGCUGGAAGUCUAAGGACAGUGUUGAUCUCAGAGCAACGUGUGUGUGUGUGUGUGUGUGUGUGUGUGUGUGUGUGUGUGUGUGUGUGUGUGUGUGUGUGUGUGUGUGUGUGUGUGUGUGUGUGUGUGUGUGUGUGUGUGUGUGUGUGUGUGUGUGUGUGUGUGUGUGUGUGUGUGUGUGUGUGUGUGUGUGUGUUGGUAGUGGUGGCAGCGGAUGCCCUAAGAAAAUCGGUCUGAUCCCAGAGAAAACAAUUAGAACCAUGUGGUUUAGCAUUCACCACUGUUUUCAGAAGCACUGCCAGAACAUUUGAGACGAAGACAAAGGGCUCAUUCAUGCUCAGCAGCCCACACUGGGGGACAGCAGAGUCCCCUGGAUGGAGAAAGGCAGGCGGUCUGCCGGCCCCCACCGUUAGGGCUUUAUUAAUGGGGCAAACACAAUUUAGAGAGUCAAUGAGGGGUCCAAACACUACUGCUGGUCAGGGAAGAAUCCUCCCCAAGCAGCCCCCCUCUGUGCCUGGGGAGCUCGCAUACAAGGGCUCCCCACCUAAUUAGUGUCCUUCUGAAUGUGCAAAGGCAGAAACCCACAAGGGAUUUCUGUGACUAUUUAAUUACAGUUGGGUCUCUUUUGUCUUAAAACAGGCUGGAGUCUGCUAGUCCAGUGCAAUACCGUAGGGAAGCUGUACAAAGUCUCCUAAUGAGUUGGCUUCUCUGUGUUUCUGUCCUUCCCUGAGGGUGAGAGAAUUGUCUACUUCGAAAACUGACCAAGUGGAAGUAGCAACCUGUUGAACUUCAGGAAGCUCCAGAAGUAAUGAGAUUCUCAUCAGCAGAGCAAUUCUAACCUGGGCAGAAGAGUCUCUUGGCAUGGAAAUGUAGAGAAAAUUUGAGAAUGAAAUUCACAAAGAAGAGGGAAGAGAGAUGCCACUAGAUUUAAGAUGCUCCCCAGAUCUGGGAUUUUAAGCUUAGAAAUAACAAAAAAGUCCUUAUGUACAAAAAAUGCCUGGUACGGUGGAGGGGGAGCUUAAUGUUCACUAAAUGACUGACUGAACAAAUGAAAGAAAAAAGGCCCAGGGGACACUUAAAGAAAUAAAUAUUUUAGCAUAAAUUCCCCAUACUAAUGCAAAAAUUCCUCCAUAAAUUUAAGUUAGGGAUCAAAUCUUCAUUUGAAAUUGGUUUCUGGUUAUAAAGAGUCCUUGGCUUCAUAGGACCAAUGGCUUUUUUUUUCCUCUUUGAUACAUUCUUGUUUUAUACCCUCUAAACUUCAGGGAAAAUCUUUGGGAAACAGUAAUUUUGAGAUCUUAGGGAAAAGAGUAUAAGCCCAAGGAAACGAUUGUUAUUCUUUCCCUUGGAGAAAAUUAGUGGGUAAGUGCUGAGUUGUAACAACUUGCAUAGAAAGCUGAAUAUAAAACCCCAAACAAAGGGCAGCAGUUGAAGCAAGGAAAUAUCCUUGCCUUUUUAUUUAAAGCAAAGUGACUCAGCAGGGUGUGUGGAAAGUGAAGUUUAAUGAUGUGAAGUUCAGAGGUUUGCAUACAGUCUCCUGCUCUGCCACUGACUUGCAAGGUGACCUUGAAGAAUCACGUUGUCUCUCCCACUUCCUCUUCUGUAAGAUGGAAGCAGUAAUGUCCGCCUAGCAAGCAUUCUGAGUAUUUCUGAAUACCAGGUAAGAUAGUACCCAUGGAGGAUAUUUAAAGAUUGUAUAACCCUAUAACAAACGAUCUUAUGGUCAUCUUUUUAUGGUUAUCUUGCUGCAGUGCCCAACCUCAAACACCAGGUUUUGAGACUGCGAUACUUCUGCAAGAACUCCUCACUGUAGAAAUUCUAUUACUUCUAUAUUAACUAUUCUUCUUGAAAUAGAAGAAAAUGAUAUAGGAAUAUCAUUUUUACUAACUAUCAAAAUAUCUACAUGGUCACAUUUUAUUUAUAGACAUUGCCAAAACAGCCAUAAAAUGGGAGAAAAGACUGGACCAAGAGAAAGGGAACAUGGGAGUGGGUACAUUGUUUUCUUUUUUCUUCCCUUUUUUGUUCUUUCCUUCCUCCCUUUUUUCCUCCCUCCCUCCCUUCCUAUAUUAACAUGACUGGCAUAUAUUAUGUCUCAUGAUAAAAAAUGAAUGAGACUGACUCCCUGAUCUCAGUGGCUUUGAAAUUUAUUGGUGGUGAGGGUCAAAUCAAAGGAGGAUUGAAACAAAGUAUCAAAUGCAUCUCAAAAAAGCUAAGGGGGGCAUAUAUCUAGGGAGGCUUCCUGGAGAAAGAAAUGCCUAGUUUGGAUUUUGAAGCAUGAAUGGGAGUUUGGAAGGAAACAAAGGGUGAGUGAGAAUACAGAACAAGGAAACUCCACGUGGUUCCACAGAACUGAAGGGAAGGGUGUUUAUGAGCACAUUCUAGGGAAUAAGAGAAAACUAGGUAGAGAGACGCCUGACUGGGAAGGGCCUUCUCAGCUAAGAGGUGUUUUGAUUUCACUUGAGGGUUAUAGGGAACCAUGGAAGACCUUAAAAGCAGGGUACUGAUGUGAUCUAAUUAUUUUGAAAAGUCAUUCAGUCAUCUAUUGGAGACGGGAUUGCAAGGGGGAGACUAGAGGCAGGAAGACCAGUCUGGGGGCUGUUGCAGUGAAGUAAAGGACAAUGGUCAGCCUGCAGAUCAAGGAAGUUAAGGAAAGAGAAAAAGAGGGCAUCUGAGUACCUGAAUGUUGCCCAUCAGACAAGACCAUUGCAAUGAGUAUCUGCAGGUCAAGGGGGAGCAGAGGGCUUCCUUGCGCUGCCCCACCUCAAGCUUUGACCCCAAGCACAUCAUUUUGCCUCCUUUAAAAUGUUAAUGUUUUUCUAAUGCAUAAAACAACAAGUUUAUAUAGUUCACUUUUAGACAGUGAUUGUGUUUAGGGACCAUACGUCUCCAUCAUCUGUUGGAGAACAUUCCAGGUAAAGUGAUAAUUGGUUUGUUGGUUUGCUUUUAGAGAUGGGACAACAUUUUAAGAAGAUGAACUUGGACAUCUUCCCUUUCUUGCUUUCUAUGUAUAGAAGCAAGCACUUCCGUCAUCUUGUGUCAAUCACAGCAGGUCAAGUAAGGAAACGGUUUUAAUAGGCCAGGCAUUUUGAAAGCUUAUAAACUUACUACGAUAAAAAAAUUUGUCAUUCCUCCAUGGAUUUUGCAUUGGACAAUUUAGAUGAUGUGCAGUUAACACCUUGGUUGUAACCUACAAUCGUAUGAUGUGGCUUUUCCACACCUAAUUCACCAGAAUUGAUACCUUGAAUUCCUUCCUUUUCCUUUGUCUUUUAUUUUCUCCCGUUGCGCACUUAUCCACAUGACCUCAUCCACUACUAUGAUGCUGUUUUACCACCUACAAUUCAAACAGCUAUUGUUUCAGACAGCUGCAGUCCACUGGGAUAUAUUUGCAGCCUUCUGUGGGCCUCGAUUUCCAGAGAAAACCUUUCUUUUGUAUGUAGAGUUUCUUAUUUUAAAAGACAGUUCCUUCACAGCCCUCUGCCUCCACCGUCCUCAUUCUCAUGUGACCUCAGCUGAGAACUCAAUCUUGGAGAUGUCCUAUCUUUCUCAAGAUUAAGGCUGUUAAGGAAAGGGACCAAAGCCUAUGAAAAGGUUUUCCUUUGGAGAAACCAUGACUCUGUCCAGUGUCAAACCCAAAGCCUUAUCUUCCUCAGAAACGUGGAUCACUGUCUCUUUCAACCCCUUCAGCUCUAAGUCACCGUGUGAUUUAGGGCAUGUUAGUGACUGAACCUCAGUUUUCUCACUUAUGAAAUGGAAAUAAUCAUGUCUAUCUCACAGAGAUUUUUGCAGAUUCAAUCUCUAAUAUACGGCUUGGCAGGCACGUGUAUCCGUAAGGAUAGAUUAGGUUCUGCUGCAUUAACAUUCAAAUCCUGCUUCUCAGCGGCUUAAAACAACGAAGGAUUGUUUCUUGUGCAAGCUGCACGUCCAAUUGAGUCUGGGAGGGGGGCUCUGCUCUCUGCAGUCCCACAAGGAUCCAACCUGACGGAGAUGCUACCAUCUUAUGACAUCAGCAUCUCAGUAUACCGGGGCUUCAGGGUGACUCAGAUAAUUCAUGGUCACGUUUCAUUAGCUAAAGCGAGUCACAUGGCUAUGGUGAACCUCAAAGGUACAGGGCAGUAUAAUCCUUCCAUGUCUUUGGAUAGAUAAGAGAACUAGAAACAUUGGUGUGGGAGGAGUGAUGUAACCAAGGUGGCGACACAGGUCAUUCCUGACUUUGCUCCCCCUCACAAGAAGAACAACUAACACAACUAUUUAUGAAAAAGACACCGCUGUGAAAACCCUAGAACACAGGGGUGAGGCAGAAGUAUAACCCCUGCACCACAGCACCGAGACAGAUGGCAUUAGAAGGGUAAGAGAACUUCCCUGAUCCCAUAGUUCCUCCAGGGGGAAAAUGAGGGCCCUGGUAGACAUCCUGCUCCCCCAACAUUGUCAGUUGCUUCUGGGGAGGCCCACUAGGGUCCUGCCCCAUGGGGAUGGUGGGGGAAUCUGCAGGACUUGACCACUGGAUUGUGAUGGAGAAGAGGGGAGAGUCUUGCAGGAACCAGCAUCUGGAUCUUGACAGACUGAGUUCCUAUUGCCAGUGCCCAAGUAGAAGUCCCAACCAGCGGCUGUGCUCAGCUGCAGAGCCAAGAUGGCGGUACAGUCUGAUCAGGGAAUCUGGUGGGGGCACACGUCUGCCUGACUUGGCACUCCAGAAAAAGAGUCUUGCCAUCUCUGGAGCCUGGUCUGCCUCUCUGCCUGGGCAGGGGAGCUAAGUCAUAGCCUUGCCCCCUGCUGACUAUAGCUCCUGGCCGGUCCCAACCAGGAAACCUGGCUGGAGCAACCAAGAAGCUACUUAGCCCAGCAACACUGGAGGUAAGAGCUUGGCCAGCAGCACUGACCAUCUGUAGAUCAAAGCCAGUGGCCUUAUUUGGCCAGGGAACUUGGGGUGCAGCUUGGCUUGAGUCAAGACCCCAAACGCAAAGCCCUGCCAGCCUUGGAGCAGGUUCCGCUGCUCUACCCGGACUGCGGAGUUAAUUCCUAGUCCUGACAAUAAAAUACUAUUUGAAAAAAUAAAAUAAAAUACUAUUUGGCAAUAAAAAAAAGGAAAUCCUGUCAUUUGCAACAACACAGGUGUACACUGAGGGCAUCAUGCUAAGUUAAUUAAGUUAAUUAAGUCAGAGAGAGAAAGAAAAAUACUAAUCUCACUUAUAUGAGGAAUUUAAACACAAACAAAAAGCCCACCCAACAACAAACUCACUGAAAAAGAGAUCAGACUUGUUACUAGAGGCAAGGGGUAGGGGUAGGGGAAUUGGAUGAAGUUCCUCAAAAGGCACAAACUUCAACAAAAUUCAUUAUUCUUAUGGAUAAUAAGUACUGGAGAUACAGUGUGCUACUUUGUGACUUUGGUUUACACUGCUGGUGGUAUACUUGAAGGUUGCUAAGAGGGUAGAUCCUUAAAGUUCUUAUCACAAGGGUAAAAUUGCUUUUUUUAUGUCUAUAAAAGAUGAGGAUAUUAACUAAACUUAUUGUUUUAAUCAUUAUGCAUUAUAUAUAACUCAGGUCAUUAUGCUACACAUCUUGAACUUACACAGUGCUGUACAUCAAUUAUAUCUCAAUAAAAGUGGAAGAAAAAAACAUUGAUUUGUACAAAAACACCUAAGUAUCUAAACAAUGUAGCCAGCUCCCACUUUAAAAAUUAUAUCAGUAGGCACAACGAGACACUUCUAAAGAUCAAACACACAUACUUAUGAAAAAACUGGAGUGUGAGCGAGCGAGUGAGUGUGAGAUGCUGUGUGGGGCUGAGAGUGGUAAGUUAAGGGGAGCAUCACAAAUAUACUGACAGUAAUUGACUUUGGGUUGUGUUAAUGAUAUGCCAGUUUGCUAUAAAUUUUUAGAGAUUAAGGGGGUAAAUAACUGGGUUAACUAUUCAGUUAAUAAUGCAUUUUGAAUACAUAUUAAAAUAAGGCCCACAGAAGCUGCCUGAUAUCCAGAAAGAUCUCUUUGGCUCCCAAGAAGAGCCAAAACUCUCAGAGAGAAGGAGAAAAAAAAUCUAGUAACUUUCUUCAUGAUCCUGUUGGGUUACCAGCAAAAUGGUAUUAGAUGGACUGUUAGCUGUGUGAGGAUAGGCAAGGUGCAUCAACUCUCCCAGUUAUUUUUCUUAAAUGUAAAACAACAACAAUAAUACCCUAUUUGGUUUCACAAUCUUGCAUUUAAUGUACCGUCAAGUAUCAUUUAGGCUCCCGGUGACAGGGAACUUAUUACAUUGACAAUGGGGCCAUUUCCUUCCCAUGUAGCGCUUUUAAAAACUUCUUUCUUAUGUUAAUCUGAAAUCCAUAGGUCAUUAAGGACAAGCAUCUCCUUCUGUCUAUGCCAGUCCUUCAAGGAUGCAGUAUCUCCUUAGGUUCUGCCCACAUACCACCUAAAAUUUUCCAUUUCGUUCAUUUUGCCCUGGUAUACAUGAUGAAACCAUUUAAGCACAUUUAAAAAAAUAUAUAACAACUGUACUGGAUACCACUUAUGCUCUCAAACACUGCCAAUUUGUCUUAUAUAAAAUAAGCAGAAAGGAGGAGGAUAAAUGAAAAAGAAUAAAAGGGAGUAUGUCCAGUCAGAAUGGCCAUCAUUAAAAAAUCUACAAAUAACAAAUGCUGGAGAGGGUUUGGAGAGAAGGGAACCCUCCUACACUGCUGGUGGGAAUGUAAAUUGGUGCAGCCACUAUGGAGAACAGUAUGGAGGUUCCUAAAAAACUAAAAAUAGAGUUGCCAUAUGAUCCUGCAAUCCCAUUCCUGGGCAUAUAUCCGGACACAACUAUAAUUCAAAAAGAUACAUGCACCUCAUAGCAGCACUAUUUACAAUAGCCAAGACAUGGAAACAACCUAAAUGUCCACUGACAGAUGAAUGGAUAAAGAUGUGGUACACAUAUACAAUGGAACAGUACUCAUUCAUAAAAAAUGAAAUAAUGCCAUUUGAGUGGAUAUAGAGAUUAUCAUACUAAGUGAAGUCAGAAAGAGAAAGACAAAUACCAUAUGAUAUCACUUAUAUGUGGAAUCUAAAAUAUGACACAAAUAAACCUAUCCACAAAACAGAAACAGAAUCAUGGACAUAGAGAAUAGACUUGUGGUUGCCCGGGGAGAGGGGGUGUGUGAUGGAUUGGGAGUUUGGGAUUAGCAGAUGCAAACUUUUAUAUAUGGAAUGGAUAAAGAACAGAGUCCUAGUGUAUAGCACAGGGAACUAUAUUCAAUAUCCUGUGAUAAACCAUAAUGGAAAAGAAUAUGAAAAAGAAUGUAUAUACAUGUAUAACUGAAUCACUUUGCUAUACAGUAGAAAUUAACAUUGUAAAUCAACUAUACUUCAAUAAUUUUUUUUUUUUUUUUUUUUGCAGUACACGGGCCUCUCACUGUUGUGGCCUCUCCCGUUGUGGAGCACAGGCUCUGGACGCGCAGGCUCAGCGGCCAUGGCUCCCGGGCCCAGCUGCUCCGCGGCAUAUGGGAUCUUCCCGGACCGGGGCACGAACCCGUGUUCCCUGCAUCGGUAGGCAGACUCUCAACCGCUGCGCCACCAGGGAAGCCCCAAUAAAAUUUUUUAAAAUGCUG